rnacentral:rRNA from 1 species
UACGAAGGGGGGCUAGCGUUGCUCGGAAUGACUGGGCGUAAAGGGCGCGUAGGCGGAUGGCACAGUCAGAUGUGAAAUUCCCGGGCUUAACCUGGGGGGCUGCAUUUGAAACUACAAGGCUAGAGUGUGGCAGAGGGGGGGUGGGAAUUCCACGUGUAGCAGUGAAAUGCGCAGAUAUCAGGAGGAACACCGGUGGCGAAGGCGGGUCUCUGGGCCGAUACUGACGCUGAGGAGCGAAAGCGUGGGGGAGCAAACAGG